rnacentral:lncRNA from 1 species
UGUCUAUCUGAUCUGAUAUUAUUCAUGUUUCAUCUGCUAAUUAAGUUUGUUUUGUCAUCAUCAAAAAGGGGGAGAUUGUAAGAACAAAAAUUGUUCUACAACAGAUUCCUUGAUUUUGAUGAUAACAAAGGAUGAAACCAAAAAUGGCACCCUAACGAAAAGUUUCUAAGUGUGCAGGGUUCUAAAGAAAGAAGGAAGAAAUCUGAUGAUGUCAUCAGAUAC